rnacentral:misc_RNA from 1 species
GAAAUGCGAUACGUAGUGUGAAUUGCAGAAAUACGUGAAUCAUCGAAUCUUUGAACGCAAAUUGCGCUCGAGGCUUCGGCCAAGAGCAUGUCUGCCUCAGCGUCGGGUUAAUACUCGCUCCCAAUUCACAUUGGGAACGGAACUGGCUUUCCCGGCUUGUUUGCUCAAGCCGGGUCUGCUGAAGUGCAGAGGUUGAUGCAUGGACCCGCUAACGGGCCUCUACUGGGUAGGCAAUUCAUUGCUAAUGCUUUAGUGGAUGGCUUGGGUUAUGCUUGUCGACCCCAACCAGGAACUAGGAGCUCGACUCCUAGCAAACCCCAUUUUCUCGACCUGAGCUCAGGCAAGAACACCCGCUGAACUUAA